UGGGGAAUAUUGGACAAUGGGCGAAAGCCUGAUCCAGCCAUGCCGCGUGUGUGAAGAAGGUCUUCGGAUUGUAAAGCACUUUAAGUUGGGAGGAAGGGCAGUUACCUAAUACGUGAUUGUUUUGACGUUACCGACAGAAUAAGCACCGGCUAACUCUGUGCCAGCAGCCGCGGUAAUACAGAGGGUGCAAGCGUUAAUCGGAAUUACUGGGCGUAAAGCGCGCGUAGGUGGUUAGUUAAGUUGGAUGUGAAAUCCCCGGGCUCAACCUGGGAACUGCAUCCAAAACUGGCAAACUAGAGUACGGUAGAGGGUGGUGGAAUUUCCUGUGUAGCGGUGAAAUGCGUAGAUAUAGGAAGGAACACCAGUGGCGAAGGCGACCACCUGGACUGAUACUGACACUGAGGUGCGAAAGCGUGGGGAGCAAACAGGAUUAGAUACCCAUGUAGUCCCUGAGCGGGCUGGCAAGGCGCAU
rnacentral:rRNA from 1 species